rnacentral:rRNA from 1 species
CAGCCGCCGCGGUAAUACGUAGGUGGCAAGCGUUGUCCGGAAUUAUUGGGCGUAAAGGGCUCGCAGGCGGUUUCUUAAGUCUGAUGUGAAAGCCCCCGGCUCAACCGGGGAGGGUCAUUGGAAACUGGGAAACUUGAGUGCAGAAGAGGAGAGUGGAAUUCCACGUGUAGCGGUGAAAUGCGUAGAGAUGUGGAGGAACACCAGUGGCGAAGGCGACUCUCUGGUUUGUAACUGACGCUGAGGAGCGAAAGCGUGGGGAGCGAACAGGAUUAGAUACCCCUGUAGUCCCUGUCUCUUAUAC